AUAAUAAUAAUAAUAAUAGUGCCUUUGCAGUAUAGAUAUCUCAAGAAGCUUCAGUUCACUAAUAAUGAUCCGUAUGAGUAUAUAAACUCAAAUUCAGUCAGAUACAUUAACAUGCCUAUUACGGAGACAGGUCAAGCCUAUGGCUCACUUGAAAGCAAUUUAGGCCAACUGACACCAAGAACUAAUAAACCCAAUAAUCCUCCAAUAAAUGUAAGAUGUUUAAAUAAAACAUCAUGUAGCAAAUUCUUUAUGCCUACCUCCCCAUUCUCCUUUUGUGAUCAUAAUGUGUGAUAAGCUACAAUAACACAAAUACAAAAAUCUCAAACUAAAAAUAUUGGCUCAACCAUAGCUGUCACCCACAUGAAUGACAUGCAAACUUGGUACACUAAUAGGGAGCAAAAAUCAGAAAUAUUGGGACAUUUAGUGGCCACAGUUGAUGAAUAACAGAAACAGCAUUAGGAGUUAACAGUUAGCCUAUUAUUCCCCUAAGCCCAUGUUCUGUUGACAGAGACCAAAAAUAGGCUAUAGGAUGCAUAGAUUAGUAGGGCCCCAAGGUCUGAGCCAGGAAAGGGAUCAGGUUUAUAUGAUGACCUAGCACAUGGGCAGGCUUGGGUUGGGUUACCUUAUAUUGGGCGACAAUUUUCAUCCCUAACCAAUCUUAUCAGAUUGAAUUUUGUUAAGAUGAAAUAUUAUUCCCCCAAAAUUAUUUUGGACUUAAAUUUGCCUUGCCAAGUCUUCUUGCCCCGACUUGACCAAGUCUUUGUAGACAUAUUGCCAUAUGGUUUAUUUGUAUUCAACAGGAGAGAAACUAGAAGAAUAUAAGGUUAAGAAUAGCAUUAUACACUGCCAUGGAACACAACAUUCCCAUCCAGGCCUAACUCAAGGUCAUCAGAAGCCCUUUGUUAAUUCAAAAGAUCACUAGAAGAGUAUCAAAUUUGAAAAGUAAACCAUCAAGAAUAUGACAAUGCCACUAGAAGAGUCUUAAAUUAUGUCAUUAACCAAUAACCAGGGUUUUUAUAUCAGAAGACCAGGAUUUGCCUUGGCUGGGUGAGCAACUAGACAGUAUAAGGAAAAUCACAGUUAAAGGUUAAUCCCGAGGUAACUUCAUAUUCUUUAAAACCUACAUAACCCCGCCAGUUUUACAGACCUAGCCAUCUCAUUUCAGAAGCUAGUUCACAAAUGCAGUUCUCAGUCCCAUUUCCAACAAAUUCUCCUAUGCAACAGCUGAACAGCACACUCGUCUAAGAAGGUCCAAGCACUAAAUCAGACUUCCUUUAUUUUUUACCCGUGUUACAGGAAGAAGAUCGCUUUUAAAGAUGGUUUUUAAGCCAAAGGUGAAGGGAUAAUGUGAUAGUAGAGAAGAGACUCCAUAUAUGUGAAACUCCAUGGUGAUAAGAGAGAAUCAAAGUUUUAACUUCAAUUUGGUGAUAUGAUGCCUUUGUUCUUGAGGUUUGGUUUUGCCAAAGGAGAAUACAGUGGGACACAGAGAGAAUUAGAAAGGAAUGCAUACAUUAAUAAGAAGUAUCCCCUUCCUUUCCAUCUUACCUUCCUUUUUCCUUUAGUCCAAGCACAACAAAGCCAAAAGCAUCACCUACUCUUCAGUGCCUCACAUAAAGCCCAGUUUGAGCUGGCCUGCCAAAGACUGAAAAGAUAACUUAAUAUGCUUUUUCUUUGCUUGAAUGGACCUUGGAGUAGAUAGAGCUAUAAUUUUGGUACUUCAUGUUCGUAAGUGCUUUCAGUCUGAUUGACUUUACCAUAUGCUGUACCUCUUUGUUGCAUAAAAUGAGGUUGAUCUGAUUUUUUUUUUUUGGGUGGUUUUUAUUUCUUCAUUAUAGUUACAAUUUUAUGGUUUUUAUAUUUCUAUUUCUAAUGUAUGUUAUUCUUCACAAAUAAAUCUUUCAGUUAAAUUUUCCUUAUUUAGCUUAUAUUCCUCUCAUCUAUAUUUUUAGUUAUUUUUUUAAUUUAAAACUCUGAUUUGACCAAUGACAAGUUGGCCAUUGAAAGAUUUGCAUUAAGAAGCACUUUAUGGUGGUUAGUUGCAAAGGAACUUCCUAGCGUGAAAUAUCAUCUGGUAACAUAAAAUUUCUAAAUGAAACAGCUUUAUCUUGACAAGUGAAGGACACGGGCAAAUGAAAGAGAGUGAUUAUAACCUCUCUCUAUCAAUAACUAAAACACUAGUCACAUGUGUGUAACAUGAAAAUCAAAUAUAUUAACUAGAAUUCAUAUCACACAGAUGCUCUAAGAUUCAAAAUAGCAAUGUUCAGUCAGUAAAAAUUUUCCUUAUGUCAAAUGAUUGCCAUACUACAACCAAAGAGACAAAAAAUAUGCAAAUGGACAGAGAAAAGGUGCAAUGAGACAAUAACUUUUAACCUACAACUUUUGAAAGCUACUUGUGGGGAAAAGGCAAUUCUGCUAUCUAAAGAUUCAUCAACACGUUAAUCGACAUUCAUCAAAUGAAAUUGUUUAUUUUACUACAUAAACUUGAAAAAGUCACAAACAAAAAUUCUAGGAGCCCAGUGAUUAUUGUGCAAGUACAGCUUAAAGAAUAUUUUAUGCAGGAUCAACAAUCAAAAACACCAAAAGGCUGCAGAAACUAAUUCUCCACCGUUAAUAUAUUUAGUUGUCACAUAUUAUCACUAAAAGGCAGAGGACCAACGUGAUACUCCAUUUAUCAAUGAAAUCUGCAGUAUUAAUAGACCCUCAAUUCCUCAUACCAGCUUAUAAAAUAAUUAUAAGGAUAAAUCUAAUAAAAUAAAAUGUUAAAAAAAAUCCUGAUCCAACUUCAACUCUCUCCCCCAAAGAAUGCAGUUACUUGUUUUCACAUCAUAGAAGCCAAAGUGUCUUUCUCCACUAUUUUUGCAAUCAUUUUCUAUUCCACCAUUUGGAACAUCUCCCUCUUCACACAGUUCUUUUACUUGUUCCUUACAUAACAGUAGCAAAAGUAUUACUCCCCACUAGUCCUGAGAUAAACUUCAACUCCAUUUGAUCAUUACAGCAUUUUCCCCCCUCUUUUAUGAUGAGUUGAUUUGGAUAGGCAACAGUGAGACAGGCGGGUCAGGUUACACAAAAUCUGAAACAUGAACAACUUCCAAAUGGACAACCAGAUGCCAGAAAAUGCACCCAAUUAGCUACCAAUCCCAAUCAGACAAGCCAAAAGUAACUAUAUGUCAAUAUCCUGAUUUAGUGUAAGAACUAAGAAGAAAAGAGGAUAUAUAUACAAAUUCGGGGUGAUAACUACAUAUAUUGACAAAAAAAAAAAAAGAACA
rnacentral:misc_RNA from 1 species